rnacentral:rRNA from 1 species
GAUGUACGCUAGCGGCAGGCUUAACACAUGCAAGUCGAGGGGCAGCGCGGGAUAGCAAUAUCCUGGCGGCGACCGGCGGAAGGGUGCGUAACGCGUGAGCGACAUGCCCGUUGCCCGGGGACAACCGGUGGAAACGCCGACUAAUCCCCGAUGGGAUAUUGUGCCGCAUGGCACGAUAUUGAAAGUUACGGCGGCGACGGAUUGGCUCGCGUCCGAUUAGCUUGUUGGCGGGGUAACGGCCCACCAAGGCUGCGAUCGGUAGGGGUUCUGAGAGGAAGGCCCCCCACAAUGGGACUGAGACACGGCCCAUACUCCUACGGGAGGCAGCAGUGAGGAAUAUUGGUCAAUGGGCGGAAGCCUGAACCAGCCAUGCCGCGUGCGGGAAGGAGGCCCUAUGGGCUGUGAACCGCUUUUGCCUGGGGGCAAUAAGGGCGUCGCGCACGUCCGAUGAGAGUACCAGGCGAAUAAGCAUCGGCUAACUCCGUG